rnacentral:rRNA from 1 species
AGAGUUUGAUCCUGGCUCAGGAUGAACGCUAGCUACAGGCUUAACACAUGCAAGUCGAGGGGCAGCAUGGUCUUAGCUUGCUAAGGCCGAUGGCGACCGGCGCACGGGUGAGUAACACGUAUCCAACCUGCCGUCUACUCUUGGACAGCCUUCUGAAAGGAAGAUUAAUACAAGAUGGCAUCAUGAGUCCGCAUGUUCACAUGAUUAAAGGUAUUCCGGUAGACGAUGGGGAUGCGUUCCAUUAGAUAGUAGGCGGGGUAACGGCCCACCUAGUCUUCAAUGGAUAGGGGUUCUGAGAGGAAGGUCCCCCACAUUGGAACUGAGACACGGUCCAAACUCCUACGGGAGGCAGCAGUGAGGAAUAUUGGUCAAUGGGCGAGAGCCUGAACCAGCCAAGUAGCGUGAAGGAUGACUGCCCUAUGGGUUGUAAACUUCUUUUAUAAAGGAAUAAAGUCGGGUAUGGAUACCCGUUUGCAUGUACUUUAUGAAUAAGGAUCGGCUAACUCCGUGCCAGCAGCCGCGGUAAUACGGAGGAUCCGAGCGUUAUCCGGAUUUAUUGGGUUUAAAGGGAGCGUAGAUGGAUGUUUAAGUCAGUUGUGAAAGUUUGCGGCUCAACCGUAAAAUUGCAGUUGAUACUGGAUAUCUUGAGUGCAGUUGAGGCAGGCGGAAUUCGUAGUGUAGCGGUGAAAUGCUUAGAUAUCACGAAGAACUCCGAUUGCGAAGGCAGCCUGCUAAGCUGCAACUGACAUUGAGGCUCGAAAGUGUGGGUAUCAAACAGGAUUAGAUACCCUGGUAGUCCACACGGUAAACGAUGAAUACUCGCUGUUUGCGAUAUACUGCAAGCGGCCAAGCGAAAGCGUUAAGUAUUCCACCUGGGGAGUACGCCGGCAACGGUGAAACUCAAAGGAAUUGACGGGGGCCCGCACAAGCGGAGGAACAUGUGGUUUAAUUCGAUGAUACGCGAGGAACCUUACCCGGGCUUAAAUUGCAGAUGAAUUACGGUGAAAGCCGUAAGCCGCAAGGCAUCUGUGAAGGUGCUGCAUGGUUGUCGUCAGCUCGUGCCGUGAGGUGUCGGCUUAAGUGCCAUAACGAGCGCAACCCUUGUUGUCAGUUACUAACAGGUUCCGCUGAGGACUCUGACAAGACUGCCAUCGUAAGAUGUGAGGAAGGUGGGGAUGACGUCAAAUCAGCACGGUCCUUACGUCCGGGGCUACACACGUGUUACAAUGGGGGGUACAGAGGGCCGCUACCACGCGAGUGGAUGCCAAUCCCCAAAACCUCUCUCAGUUCGGACUGGAGUCUGCAACCCGACUCCACGAAGCUGGAUUCGCUAGUAAUCGCGCAUCAGCCACGGCGCGGUGAAUACGUUCCCGGGCCUUGUACACACCGCCCGUCAAGCCAUGGGAGCCGGGGGUACCUGAAGUGCGUAACCGCGAGGAGCGCCCUAGGGUAAAACUGGUGACUGGGGCUAAGUCGUAACAAGGUAGCC